UCAGUGUGAGAUCAGGAUCAUGUGUGUCCAGCUCUGUGUCUCUGAAGAGUGACUGCUCUAAAGAAGGUCAUCCACCAAACUUCAGUGAGGAAACACCAUCAUCUGCACAAAGUGAUGACUAUGAGUCAGCAGAUUCAGGAGACGAGACUCACAGGAGACACAAGAGCUUCACAGACAAUCUCCAGUCCAUCUUCCAGAAUCUUGAGAGUAAAAUGAUCA